CGCUGGUCCCCUCGCGGCGGCUAGUCGUGAACCCCGUCAGGUCCGGAAGGAAGCAGCGGUAACGGUGAUGCCGGGCGCCGGGGUGUGGCUGGCGCGG
rnacentral:SRP_RNA from 1 species